UAAAACUUAUGGCUAAAACAGGUAGCAGCCACGAGCAUGCUGGAAAUGCUUGACCAAUCACACCGUCGGGUCCCUUCCUCUAAUGUCAAGCGGGGAUAUCGCUAAUACAUCCAUGGGAUAUCGGCAACUGAUAGUAAAACGAAAGCAUCAAAUGCAAGUGUUAUUCAUUCCUCUCUCAUUCCCGUUUAGUUGGUUUCCCCAAGGGAGGACGGUGCUUGCAAAGGGUGAUGGAUGAGCAAGGGAUCAGAGGCGAGAGGAGGAAUAAUGAGGAUGUGCCCUGAUAAUCUACCACAUCCCUUGACCCAUCUACGGCCAAUAGUGGCCCCAGCGCAUCUGCAACAGAGCAGCACCUCGCUGCUCAAAGAGAAUCAGUGUCUGAACACCUCACCACAGAGAGUGGUUUCCCCUCUACUCCUCUGGAUGGAACCAAACUCCUCGUGACUUCAGCUGUCAGUCAUGGCCGCAGCCGUGCCGCAUCAAAUCCAGACCUGAUGGGUAUUGACGGACGGCGGAGCACGCAGCCGACACGCAGCGGAGCCGGUCCGCAGACGUUACGCAUUCAGUGGAAAUCCGGAGUAAAAUGUCUUAGAAGGUAGAACUCAGUUGGGUGAUGUGGUGUUCCAGCACUUAAAAACCUGGGUUCACUUUGUGUUGUUAGUUUCGGCUUUACUACUUUGAUGUUUGUGUAACCGUAACAGCAAUUAGCAGUAGGUAAAUACAUUCUCCUCAACACUACUUCUUAGUUUGCUGAAGUUUAUUGUUAACAGAGAACCUUGGAAAGUUAACUUUCGCUUGUUGCUAAUGUUCACUAUGCAGAUAUUUUUAAUCCGGCUAAAUAGUAGGGGUGGGGAAAAAAAAAUCGAUAGAGCAUAGUAUUGUGAUAUUUUCCGUGGCAAUACUGUAUCGAUACAC